AUUGAACGCUGGCGGCAGGCCUAACACAUGCAAGUCGAGCGGAUGAAGGGAGCUUGCUCCUGGAUUCAGCGGCGGACGGGUGAAUAAUGCCUAGGAAUCUGCCUGGUAGUGGGGGAUAACGUCCGGAAACGGGCGCUAAUACCGCAUACGUCCUGAGGGAGAAAGUGGGGGAUCUUCGGACCUCACGCUAUCAGAUGAGCCUAGGUCGGGUUAGCUAGUUGGUGGGGUAAAGGCCUACCAAGGCGACGAUCCGUAACUGGUCUGAGAGGAUGAUCAGUCACACUGGAACUGAGACACGGUCCAGACUCCUACGGGAGGCAGCAGUGGGGAAUAUUGGACAAUGGGCGAAAGCCUGAUCCAGCCAUGCCGCGUGUGUGAAGAAGGUCUUCGGAUUGUAAAGCACUUUAAGUUGGGAGGAAGGGCAGUAAGUUAAUACCUUGCUGUUUUGACGUUACCAACAGAAUAAGCACCGGCUAACUUCGUG
rnacentral:rRNA from 1 species